rnacentral:miRNA from 1 species
UAGCCCCGCUGUCCUACUGCUG